rnacentral:rRNA from 1 species
GAAUAUUGGGCAAUGGCCGAGAGGCUGACCCAGCCAUGCCGCGUGCAGGAAGAAGGCCUUCUGGGUUGUAAACUGCUUUUAUACGGGAAGAAAACGCCCCUGCGGGGGUAACUGACGGUACCUGCAAAGGAAGCACCGGCUAACUCUGUGCCAGCAGCCGCGGUAAUACAGAGGGUGCAAGCGUUGUUCGGAAUUAUUGGGCGUAAAGAGCGCGUAGGCGGUUUGCUAAGUCUGGUGUGAAAGCCCUCAGCUUAACUGAGGAAGUGCAUUGGAUACUGGCAGGCUUGAGUGUGAGAGAGGAUCGUGGAAUUCCUGGUGUAGCGGUGAAAUGCGUAGAUAUCAGGAGGAACACCGGUGGCGAAGGCGGCGAUCUGGAUCAUAACUGACGCUGAGGCGCGAAAGCGUGGGUAGCAAACAG